GCAAGUCGAACGGUGAAGCAGAGCUUGCUCUGUGGAUCAGUGGCGAAAGGGUGAGUAACGCGUGAGUAAGCUGCCCUCAAGUUUGGAAUAAUUCACCGAAAGGUGGACUAAUACCGGAUGUGGUUAUAAUAUUGCAUAUUGUUAUAACUAAAGAUUUAUCGCUUGAGGAUGUGCUCGCGUCCAAUUACGCUUGUUGGUGAGGUAACGGCUCACCAAGGCUAUGACGGGUAGGUGGUCUGAGAGGAUGGUC
rnacentral:rRNA from 1 species